AAACUGAAAGGCUUUUAUGCCCCACAUUUCCGUGCAGAAGCGGAGGAGGGAACCCCAAAAACGGCUUUUUUCUUUUUUUUACCCCCCCCAAAAAAACGGGGGGAGGCGCCCAUGCAGAAAUAAUUAAUAACCCGUAACUAAUAAUUAAUGCUAAUUAAUAACUAAUGAAGAUUAAGACGGUCGCAGAUGCGGAAUCGGAUGAAUUUGGCUCCAAAAAUGACACCCGGGGGACCCCGCAUCCAACAUAGGGGCACCCAGGGGUGCCCCCAGACCCCAUUUAUUGCACAUGAGCACCCAUGGGUGCCCCCAGACCCCAUUCAUCCCAUAGCAGCACCCAUGGGUGCCCCCAGGCCCCAUUUAUUGCACACGAGCACCCAUGGGUGCCCCCAGACCCCAUUCAUCCCAUUGGAGCACCCAUGGGUGCCCCCAGGACCCCAUUCAUCCCAUUGGAGCACCCAUGGGUGCCCCCAGACCCCAUUCAUCCCAUUGGAGCACCCAUGGGUGCCCCCAGAUCCCAUUUAUUGCACACGAGCACCCAUGGGUGCCCCCAGACCCCAUUCAUCCCAUUGGAGCACCCAUGGGUGCUGCAGACCCCAUUCAUCCCAUAGCAGCACCCACGGGUGCCCCCAGACCCCAUUUAUCCCUUUGAAGCACCCAUGGGUGCUGCAGACCCCAUUCAUCCCAUUGGAGCACCCAUGGGUGCCCCCAG
rnacentral:lncRNA from 7 species